rnacentral:lncRNA from 1 species
GCAACCCGUCAACUCAGGAAGAAUAUGCAAAACUCUUUCUCAUCUCUUAAAAAUCUCUUCCUGCAUAUAUUUUGUAAUGGAGAGAUUAUAAAUACAGACACAUAAAAACAAUUUGUAAAAAAUAUACGUGAUUUGAGAUUAAUUGUUUUGUUUUUAUCUCUUUGUGUCUUUAGGGCCACACCCGAGGCACAUGGAGGCUCCCAGGCUAGGGAAUUGGAGCUGUAGCUGCCGGCCUACACCACAGCCGCAGCAAUGCAUGAUCCGAGCCGUGUCUGUGACCUUACACCACAGCUCAUGGCAGUGCCAGAUCCUUAACCCACUGAUCGAGCCCAGGGAUCAAACCUGUGUCCUCAUGGAUGCUAGUCAGGUUGGAUAUCCACUAAGCCACAACGGGAACGCCUAAGGGUUUUUUUUUAGUGUUUAAAAUCAGCGUUAUUGGGAGUUCCCUGGUGGCUUACUGGUUAAAGACCUGGUGUUGUCACUGCUGUGUCAUGGGUCACUGCUCUGACUCACGUUUGCUCACUGGCUUGGGAACUUCUACAUGCUCUGUGUGUGGCUAAUAAUAAUAAUAAUAAUAAAAUCAACGUUAUUGAAGUUUAGUUUGCAUUGAAUAAAAUACAGCCAUCUAAAGAGUUCUGUUUUUUGGCGUUCGCAUUGUGGCUCAGUGGGUUAAGGACUGGAACGUUGUCUGUGUGAGGAUGCAGGUUCGAUCCCUGGCCUCGUUCAGAGGGUUAAGGAUCCGGCGUUGCUGCAGGCUGCAGCAUAGGUCUCAGAUGCAUAGGUCUCAGAUCUGGCGUGGCUCUGGCUGUGGCAUAGGCCUCAGCUGCAGCUCCAACUUGACCCCUGGCCUGAGAACUUCCAUAUGCUGCAGGUGCAGCCAUAAAAAAAUUAAAGAGUUCUGUUUUUUGGCUUUUGACACAUAUGUACAUCUGUGUAACUGCCGUCUCAGCCUAGGCAUAGAACAUUGCUGUCCAUCUAGAAAGUUCCAUCUUGAAAGGCAUGCCUUUCAGUACACAAAACAUAAGAUUUAGCAUCUUAGCCAUUUUCCAGUGUUCCAGUCCAUGGCAUUAAGUACCUGUUCAGUGUUAUAUAGACAUCACCUCAGCCAUGUCCAGAACGUUCUCUUGGUUUUUUUUUUUUUUUAAGUCUUUUUAGGGCUGCGCCCGCGGCAUACGGAAGUUCCCAGCCUCGGGGUCAAAUCAGAGCUACAGCUGCCAGCCUACACCACAGCCACAGCAACGCUGGAUUCUUAACCCACUGAGCAAGGCCAGGGAUCGAACCCACGACCUCAUGGUUCCUAGUCGGAUUCGUUUCUGCUGCGCCAAGACGGGAAUUCUCAGAACAUUUUUCAUCUUCCUAAACUGAAACUCUGUCCCCACUAAACACCAACCCCCAGCAAGCGACCUGCCCCCGCAGCCCCUGACACCCGCUGUUCUAUGCUCCGUCUCUGUGGAUCUGACUCCUCUAGGGAGCUCCUGUGAGUAGAAUCCUACAGGAUCUCUCUGUCUCUUGUUCACUCAGCACUGCGUCCUCAAGAUUCAUUGCGUCGUAGCAGGCAUCAGUGCUUUUUAAGGCUGAAUAAUAUUCCAUUGGGUGUGUGUUUCACAUUUAGUUAUUGAGCCACCUGUUGGUGGGCACUGGGGUUGCUUCCGUGUUCGGGCUGUUGUGAGCGGUGUGAUACACGCGUGUGUGCCCACAUCUGCACGAGUGCCUGCCCUUGGUUCUUCCCGUGCGUGUCCUCCAGAGCCUCGCCUGCACCGGGGCGUUGUGUAAGUGGAGUGCUGUGUGCCGCAGGCGCCCUGCAGCCUGGCUGCCUCUGCAUGACAUGCUGUCUGUGACAUGCAUCCAGGUCGCUGAGAUUCAUGCCAUCAGCACAGUUGUUGAUCUGUUCUUUGGCUGAUGGACACCCACUCGGGGCUGUUCUGAAUGGAGAGCUGGGGGCCGUGACCCAGAGAGCCAGGCUGACAGGACAGGACUUCUGCACGCAGCCCACACUGCUCUGGGCAGCUCCCUGGACGAGGCUUCUCCCUGGUGCCAGUCCAGACCUGAGACGUGGCCUCUGCCCCCAAGCGCUCCAGGUGCCCGACAAGGAAGAGAGCUGCCGUUGAGAUGGAGGUGGGGCAGUGGCCGAGCGAAGCUUUGCCCUCUGUGCUGCUGGCUGACUCCACGGUUCCUAUCUGAUGGUGCCAAGAUUAUAAACCAGCAAGCGAGCUGGUCGUGCAAACGGGCUUCCUCGUGGAGGCCCACCAGCUGUCGCACCUGGCUCGUCGCCCAGCCCACCCCUGGCAGGCCCCCAUCCUGGCCUCCUGGGGCCCCUGCGAGGUGUCCUGGGGUGUGGGGUUCUGCCGAAUGGGGAACCCGGUCCUCCCUGCUUCCUUCUCUGCUCUGCCGGGCUGGGGUGGGUCUGUGGAGUUAUUCCAGAAGCCCCAGGCCCCAUCCCUCAGUUAACAGGGAAGCUUUUCCAGGCCAGCAGGGAAGCAGCGGAGGGUAAAGGUUGGCCUCCUUAUCAGGGCUCCCUGGAGGGAAGGAUGAGAAAACAAAGCCACCGCAGCCCUCUGGGCGUGACAGUUGCUGAUAAGAGGAAGGCCGGCUGGGUGGUUUGUGGUGACACCCAGUGAAAGCAGAAGUGGGUGGGACCCCGGCUAAUCUGGAGCUGCAUGUGGUCAGGACCCCUGCCCCAAGGCCAGGGACCAAGAGGCCAAAACAAAUUAGCCCCUAGCCCAGGGCCCUUGGGGACCGUUUUUUUUCACCUUCCUCCCACUUUGCUGGAAGGUAUUGUGUGACUGCAGCCCCCCCCCCCCCCAAGGAUCAUUUUCCAAAUGCCUUCAGGGGUGGGCCUCAAGGGCCAGGCCUGCCUCUACCUUCUGUGGUUCCCUAUGUGCAUUCAUGGAGCACCUGCUGUAUACCUGGCCAGCACUCAGUGACGACCUGUAUGCCAGACUUGGGGAUUCAGGAAGAGACAGGAAAAGCUGGCUGGUCAGGACAGGGGCAGCCAGAGGGGUUCAUGAUGGCACAGACCCCAAGGGCGCUGAGAAAGCGGGGGGACUUGGAGGGGAUGUCUAAGGGGAAGUGUCCCGAACCGGGAGGCCCUGCAACUGCCUGAGGAUUAGAAGAACUGGCCGGGUCACCAGCCAAGCGUCUGUGGGUUUGGCUCAAGGCCAGGACGCUCUGAGUGCUCCACGGGGGCCCCACUGGCUCGCUUCCUUUAGGGAAGUGGGCUCGGGCUUAGAUCAAGGCUCCUCAAAAAGGGGAAGCAGAACCCUCUUGGUGAACUGACAGUGACGUUGGCUCCAUGGCGUAAGAAGAGAUGAGGGCCCUUCCCGAAGCUUCGGGGGCCAAGCCGCCUCCGUUCCCAGGGAAGAGAAGGCCUCCGAGGUGCCUGCCACUUGGCAAACCUGUGCUCGAGCAGUCCCCUCCCUGGGUCAAUCUCGGGCAGGGGCCUGUGACAUUUGCCACACCUUCCAGAUAACGGGAUCCUGGGGCUGCAUGGAACGUUCUAGGCUUUCACCCACACUCAGUGCUGGGAGAAAAUGGAGGUAGAGAGAAGUCAGGGGCCACCAGCAGCAGGUGGGUUUGGACCCAGGCCACCUGGCCCCCGGCUCCUACCCCAGCCCAGGAGGCUGCCUGAUCUGCAGUGGCCAACCCACCUGCCUCCAGGAAGGGACCCCACACCAGCAAGCAGGGGCUGGGAAAAGGUGGGGGCCGUGGGGCCUCCGAGAAGCAGGCAUGGCUGUCUAGGCCACCGGUCAGACUAUCAGGACUGCUCAUGGGCCUCGACCAGGAAAGGAAGGUUCCAGAAUGUCAAGGCCUGGCCCUGUGGAGGCCGGCAAGGUGCGGGUUGUAUCACCUGGAGGGCACACGCUCCAGGAGUUUGGAGGAGCGGGAGACAAGGGGGCCUGAUGAAGGGGUCCCUGUGAGCCCCCCGCCCCCACCCCCCGUCAGUAGGACCCGUCCCAACAGGGCCACUGCCACGGCAUAUGGAGGUUCCCAGGCUAGGGGUCCAAUCAGAGCUACAGCCGCCGGCCUACACCAGAGUCACAGCAAUGCCGGAUCCUUAACCCACAGAGCGAGGCCAGGGAUCGAACCCGCAAUCUUAUGGUUCCUGGUCGGAUUCGUUAACCACUGAGCCACGUCAGGAACUCCGGAGGAGCCUAUCUUGAUUUUGAUUUUCACAGGCAUCUGCUGGGGGCAGGGGGACAGGAAGAGGGUCAGACAGACUCCAGGCUCCGCUCCUGGGAGCUCAGUGAUUCUUGGCGCCAAGUCAAGCUUUAGAAAUUCAAAGGCUAAGUGAGGAGACACAGGCUGCUUGGCCAGAUCGACCUGUGGUCACCUCUGCUGCCCCAGGCCCCAAGCUGGGGGAGGGCUUCCAACUCCAGCUCCCCUACAGGAGGACCCCCUCCCCCUGAGAAGCUUCCAGAGUCCUUCCCCCAUCUGGUUUCUCACCCGGCCCCCCUGCUGAGGCAGUGCUCCCCGCCCCCCCGUUGCCUUGUAUCCAAUCAGGCAUCAUUCAUUUAUUCACUUAUUCAGAGCUGUCCCCUCUGAGCACCAGGUGCCAUGCUGGGCACCAGGGAUGGGGACGCCACCUAAGCCUCAUAGAGAAAGGAGUUCCCGUUGUGGCUCAGCAGAUUAAGAACCCAACUAGUAUCCCUGAGGACCCAGGUUCGAUCCCUGGCCUCGCUCAGUGGGUUAAGGAUCCACCGGCGUUGCCAUGGGCUGUGGUGUAGGUCACAGACGUGGCUCGGAUCUGGCAUUGCUGUGGCUGUGGCUGUGGUGUAGGUCGACACUUGCAGCUCCGAUUCAACCCUUCGCUUGGGAACCUCUAUAUGCUAUGGAUGCGGCCCUAAAAAGUCCAAAAAAAAAAAAAAA